rnacentral:rRNA from 1 species
UACAGAGGGUGCGAGCGUUGUCCGGAAUCACUGGGCGUAAAGGGCGCGUAGGCGGCCUGGUAAGUGUGCGGUGAAAGCCCGGGGCUCAACCCCGGGUCGGCCGUGCGAACUGCGAGGCUGGAGCACUGUAGAGGCAGGUGGAAUUCCGGGUGUAGCGGUGGAAUGCGUAGAGAUCCGGAAGAACACCGGUGGCGAAGGCGGCCUGCUGGGCAGUGGCUGACGCUGAGGCGCGACAGCGUGGGGAGCAAACAGG